rnacentral:tRNA from 1 species
UCUGGUUGUAGCGCAGCUUGGUAGCGCGCCUGAUUUGGAUUCAGGGGGUCGGAGGUUCAAAUCCUUCCAGCCAGACAUG